AACGCACAUUGCGCCCAUUAGUAUUCUAGUGGGCAUGCCUGUUCGAGCGUCAUUACAACCCUCAAGUGCUUUAGUACUUGGUGUUGGGGCUUCUGCUGCUCGCAGCAGGCUCUGAAAGAUAGUGGCGAGGUCGCCGUGACCCUGAGCGUAGUAGUUUACACCUCGCUUCUGUGGCUACGGCGGAUUCUCAGCCGUGAAACCCCUAAUUUUCACAAGGUUGACCUCGGAUCAGGUAGGAAUACCCGCUGAACUUAA
rnacentral:misc_RNA from 1 species